GAUUUGGCCGAAAGGCCUCAUUUCGAUUCUCACAACACCUGUGAACUGUAGGGGCCUCCGGGCCUCCCAUUACAAACAUUAGUGUAACGAACGUCAAAUGUAUCUUAACAUAAAUAAAACUUUCAACAACGGAUCUCUUGGCUCU
rnacentral:misc_RNA from 1 species